UACGUAGGGGGCAAGCGUUGUCCGGAAUCAUUGGGCGUAAAGCGCGCGUAGGCGGCCCGGUAAGUCCGCUGUAAAAGUCCAGGGCUCAACCCUGGAAAGCCGGUGGAUACUGCGGGUCUCGAGUCCGGGAGAGGUGAGUGGAAUUCCUAGUGUAGAGGUGAAAUUCGUAGAUAUUAGGAAGAACACCAGUGGCGAAGGCGGCGCUCUGGACCGAGACUGACGCUGAGGCGCGAAGGCGUGGGGAGCAAACAGG
rnacentral:rRNA from 1 species